rnacentral:lncRNA from 1 species
AAAUAUUAGCUGCAAAUAAUCUAUAAUUAGGUGCCGCACCAAUGUAAUUUCAAAAGAAGAUACAUCGUGGGAGACUGUACCAUAAAAGGUACAAAUUAUAGACCACCUUCAAUUUUGGAUAAUAGGAGAAGAAAACGCUAAACUGGUACAAAAUGAAACUGAUCCUGCGGAUGUUCUUUCCAACAAUCUCGGCAAGCCUAAUGCGGAGAAGAUUCACAUGGAGUAAUGGCUCCCUUGAUAAUCACAAGUUUAAGAUCAUUUACGAUCUUGAGCUUCCUUCGUGCCCAUCCUCCUGGGUUAGUUCCCACGCCGAUCGAAUCUAAUUAAGACUUUGUGGUUCUUGGAACUGUAAGUCAUCAGACCAAGCUUGAAGUUGUGCCUCCUAAUUCCACCUGCACAACAACGACAAACCAUGAGGCAAAAAUUAAGAGCAUAAGUGUCGCAAGUUAUUAAUGUUCUUAACCAUCAGAAAAAAUGAAUCAAGGACACAACUGAUGAUGUCCCAUGUUAGCGAUCAGAAUGGGCAUGAGUAAAACUGAUGAUGACCCAUGUUAGCUAUUAGAAAAUGAACCAUCAGCAUGUCACAACUCACAAGCUGUCAGUAUUCUAAAUUAAGAGCACAAUGGAUGGUGAUCAAUGUUGCUACUUGCUAGCCAUCAGAAAAUGAACCAUGGGUAUGUUAGAAGCUGUCAACGUUAUUGACCUGAUCAGAAAAUCAAUGGAAAUAAAACACGGUCAGGUCACAAGUUGUCAAUGUUCUUAACAUUCAGAAAAUUAAAUCAAGG